UAGGGAAUCUUCGGCAAUGGGGGGAACCCUGACCGAGCAACGCCGCGUGAGUGAAGAAGGUUUUCGGAUCGUAAAGCUCUGUUGUUAAGGAAGAACGAGUGUGAGAAUGGAAAGUUCAUGCUGUGACGGUACUUAACCAGAAAGGGACGGCUAACUACGUGCCAGCAGCCGCGGUAAUACGCAGGUCCCGAGCGUUGUCCGGAUUUAUUGGGCGUAAAGCGAGCGCAGGCGGUUAGAAAAGUCUGAAGUGAAAGGCAGUGGCUCAACCAUUGUAGGCUUUGGAAACUGUUUAACUUGAGUGCAGAAGGGGAGAGUGGAAUUCCAGGUGUAGCGGUGAAAUGCGUAGAUAUAUGGAGGAACACCGGUGGCGAAAGCGGCUCUCUGGUCUGUAACUGACGCUGAGGCUCGAAAGCGUGGGGAGCGAACAGG
rnacentral:rRNA from 1 species